CAAGUACUCCCUCCGUCCGGAAUUACUUGUCAUCAAAAUGGAUGUGUCUAGAACUAAAAUACAUCUAGAUACAUCCAUUUCAAUGACAAGUAUUUCCUGACGGAGGGAGUAAAAG
rnacentral:pre_miRNA from 1 species